rnacentral:rRNA from 1 species
UACGUAGGGGGCUAGCGUUAUCCGGAUUUACUGGGUGUAAAGGGAGCGUAGACGGCAUGGCAAGUCAGAUGUGAAAGCCCGGGGCUCAACCCCGGGACUGCAUUUGAAACUGUCAGGCUGGAGUGCAGGAGAGGUAAGUGGAAUUCCUAGUGUAGCGGUGAAAUGCGUAGAUAUUAGGAGGAACACCAGUGGCGAAGGCGGCUUACUGGACUGUAACUGACGUUGAGGCUCGAAAGCGUGGGGAGCAAACAGG